AAAUCACACUUUCUAGUUAAUGAAAUCCUCUUCAAUACCACCUGAGUUCUCUGUAAAAACAAUUAGUGAGGAGUGAGACGCUAGCUCAAUGAGUAAUAACACUUAACCACAAACGUUUUAGUGAGGGACAAGUCAGAAAACAUGCUAGUAUAAUAGUCAAAACAAUAAAAUCACUGCCUUUUUCAGAUACGGUAACAAUAUUCAAUCUUAUGUGCCUCAUAUAAGCAAAAUCAAUGUAAAUACUCAAUAGUAAACUCAGAAAAACAUUUUCAUAUCAAAUCUUAUAGCUCGAGGUUUCCGAGGAUGAAUCAUGUAAUCAGUGUGGCCUUCUCUUUAAGAAGUAACCAAUAACAAUGAACUCCUCAUAAAUGAGUUAAAUAUUCAUAUCAGUAUAUCCCUACUCGAGGGAUAUCA
rnacentral:lncRNA from 1 species